UACGAAGGGGGCUAGCGUUGUUCGGAAUUACUGGGCGUAAAGCGCACGUAGGCGGAUCUUUAAGUCAGAGGUGAAAUCCCAAGGCUCAACCUUGGAACUGCCUUUGAUACUGGGGAUCUUGAGUCCGGAAGAGGUGAGUGGAACUGCGAGUGUAGAGGUGAAAUUCGUAGAUAUUCGCAAGAACACCAGUGGCGAAGCGGCUCACUGUCCGGUACUGACGCUGAGGUGCGAAAGCGUGGGGAGCAAACAGG
rnacentral:rRNA from 1 species